CGUAGGAGACAAACGUUAUCCGGAGUUACUGGGCGUAAAGGGCGUGUAGGUGGUUACGUAAGUCUGGCGUGAAAUUUUUCGGCUUAACCGGGAAAGGUCGUCGGAUACUGCGGGACUAGAGGACGGUAGAGGCGUGUGGAAUUCCGGGUGUAGUGGUGAAAUGCGUAGAGAUCCGGAGGAACACCAGUGGCGAAGGCGACACGCUGGGCCGUACCUGACACUGAUGCGCGACAGCAUGGGGAGCAAACAGGAUUAGAAACCCUGGUAGUCCAUGCCGUAAACGAUGCUAGCUGGGUGUUCAGGAAGGGAAACCUUUCGGGGUACCGAAGUCAACACGGUAAGCUAGCCGCCUGGGGAGUACGGUCGCAAGAUUA
rnacentral:rRNA from 1 species